CUUCUGAUAUCAAAUAUAUCAACACUCGUUGAUAAAAGUUAAAAUACCCUCGGCAAGCCUCGGAUAUUUGUAACUUUAUCAACUCGUGUUGAUAUAAUUGAUAUCAGAAGACACUUGGGUGAGAUUCUCUAUGUGUUUGCAGCAGAGCACCACCCACUGUUACUGGUGACAGCGCCACUCUCAUCUCCGCCUUCCUAUCAUAUUCAUUGGGUUCACAACGAGGGUCAAUCAUCUCCAUGCUAGUUAGAUGAAUAUAGGAAUUAUUCUUUGUCAUCAUUAGGGUUAAGUGUGACAGGAUUAGGGUUUAGUGUGACAGGAUUAGGGUUUAGUGUGACAGGAUUAGGGUUUACAGGAUUAGGGUUUAGUGUGACAGGAUUAGGGUUUAGUGUGACAGGAUUAGGAUUAUGUUUGACAUGAUUAGGGUCUAGUGUGAAAGGAUUAGGAUUUAGUAUGACAGGAUUAGGGUCAUGUGUGAUAUGACUAGGGACAUGUGUGACAGGAUAAGAGUCAGGCGCGACAGGAAUUAUAUUUUCUGUGACAUUAUCAGGGUCAAGUUUGACAGGAUUAGGGUCAUGUGUGACAGAAUUAGAAUAUAGUGCAACAGGAUUAGGAUCUAGUGUGAUUCAGUGUGAGAGGAUUAGCAUCUUGGAUGGCACAAUUAGAGUUUUGAUUCUGAUCUAGUGUGGCAUGAUUAUGGUUUAGAGCCUCCAGGUUAGUCUUGACAAUGAUUUGGGUCUAUAGUAGCAGAAUUAAGGUCGGGAUGAUACAAAUAUGGCUUAGAGUGGUAAGAUGUUGAUAAUAUACAGGUUGACGUCUUAUUGCUGGAAUAUUGUUCAGUAUGUAAUUAUAUAAUAAAAGAGAACCACCUCUUCAUCCCAGUAAUGUAGUGUCAGUUGCUCUAUAUCCGUGGAGGGGCGGUGGGGUAGCUUAGUGGUUAAAGCGUUCGCUCAUCACACCGAAGACCCGGGUUCGAAUCCCCACAUGGCUACAAUGUGUGAAGCCCAUUUCUAGUGUCCCCUGCCAUGAUAUUGCUGGAAUAUUGCUAAAAGCGGCGUAAAACCUCACUCACUCACUCUGUAAGGUUAUUUCUGCAGGUCCACUCAAAGUUCUAAUGAUGACCUAAAAUAGACAAUGUGUAACAUGUGAAAUGUAUAAUUAGAUGUCAUGUGGGGAAUAUGAUAUUGGUCUUGUGGUUUAACCGAUUCCGUCCACGGUUCCAUUGAAACAAACAUGGCAGUGUUUUUAGUGAAGUAAUCAUUUAUUAUUUUAUGUUACCACAGGUAAUGAUGUCAUGAUAGAGUAAUAUAAAUUAAUAUGAAAAAAAGAUGGCCCUUAACUUGUUUUUAGUAGUAUGGUUUGAGUAUCAUGCUGAUCUGUAGAAAAGUUACAGAGAUUUGUUUGUUGUUUUGAUGAAUAUUUUAAGUAGAUGUUUUUCUUAAAUUUUAAUUGUAAUAGACAAUGGUUUGUAUAUUACUUCUCAAUAUCAUUUUAGGUGGAAAAAACAUAAUUUGGGUUCUUGGGCACUUUCAACAUAGCAUUACCAGGAAGCCUGAAGACCAAAGCUGAUUGUUCCUUGACAAAGGGUCCUUGAAGUUAUCUGCUCAAAUAGACCAGUCAAAGAAAGGAUUUACUAGAAUCUUAUGUUUUAAGGGUGGUUAACUAGUUAGUAGAAAAUAUGUUUUCUUUUUGUUUACUGAAUGGAUGAACAGACAGACAUCAUCAGUAUAUUUGUAACAGUAAUAAAUGAAAUUGUUUUGAUUUGAUGGUAAUAUCACUAGCCCUUUUCAAACAGAAAUUAUAUUUUCACCAGCACUGACCCUGUCUUUGUGUAGAAAAUUACAUUUGAUCAUAUGAUGAUUUACAAGUAGUAAUUUUUUUAGCAUUCCCAUGAUGACUUUAAAAUGUUAAUGAUAAAUGUAAAAAAGUGUU